GCAUACACAUUUAAAAUAAUUACGUAAAAAAGUAUUUAAUGUUAAAAAUGUUCCAAGCCAUAUUUCUUCAAGAUAAUACGAUAAAAAAUAAAUAAGUUAAACAACUACGGCUCCUGCUUCCGAACGACUCACCGGCAAAUCGGGACAACUCUUCCAGUUAUCCGUUAA